AUCUUCCGCAAUGGGCGAAAGCCUGACGGCGCAACGCCGCGUGAGUGAUGAAGGGUUUCGGCUCGUAAAACUCUGUUAUUAUGGAAGAACAAAUGUGUAAGUAACUGUGCACAUCUUGACGGUACCUAAUCAGAAAGCCACGGCUAACUACGUGCCAGCAGCCGCGGUAAUACGUAGGUGGCAAGCGUUAUCCGUAAUUAUUGGGCGUAAAGCGCGCGUAGGCGGUUUCUUAAGUAUGAAGUGAAAGACCACGGCUCAACCGUGGAGAGUCAUUGGAAACUGGGAAACUUGAGUGCAGAAGAGGAAAGUGGAAUUCCAGGUGUAGCGGUGAAAUGCGCAGAGAUAUGGAGGAACACCAGUGGCGAAGGCGACUUUCUGGUCUGUAACUGACGCUGAUGUGCGAAAGCGUGGGGAUCAAACA
rnacentral:rRNA from 1 species